UCCUCUACUCACAUAUGAUGUUCUUGUAUGUUUCCCAUACUUACAAGCAUCACAAACUAAUUUAGAUUUAUCCACUCUACUAAACUCUGAUGGGAACAUUUUUCUCAUAAUUUCAAAAGAUAUAUGUACUAAUCUAUAGUGCAAAAGUAAUACUUUAGCCUCUUCUUCACUUGUGGAAGCCAUCAAAGCUAGACACAUGGCUUCAUUAGUUCUUCCCUGAUCCAAGUACCAAAGUCCAUCACGCCUGACGCCAAUCCCAAGUUUCUUCCAUGUUUUCCUCUCC
rnacentral:lncRNA from 1 species